AAUUAACGCAUAUCGCAGAGAAAACGCUAAGAAGAGUGUGGUAUUGUUGAGAGAGUGUUGGUUCUCCAGUGUCACCCUUAAGUUCUCGAAGGAUGGACCGGCUUUGCUUUGGAAGGAUUCGGUGAAGCAGCUGGAUUUCACAUUCCUCGCCGGCUGACCAGUGAGCGUUUAGUGCGUGGCUGACGGUAGAGGAGGGAGGUGGAGGCGUGGAGACGGCGUGGCGGAGGCGUUGCUGUCGUCAUGGCGUGGUGUUCUUCCCGUCUUGUUGAUUAGGACACGAGCGGCAGUGGCGGCACUUUUCGGCUCCCCUUGAUCGUCGUCCCCUGCACCGCUACCUACCCGCCGGCCAGACUACACGCCUGCGCACCCUGAGUAGCACGCGUCACCAGCACAGCUACAGUGUACACAACGCUGGACUGAAGAGAAGAGAGGCGUUGGCGACACUUUUCGGCUCCACUACUCACCUGCCACUGACGCCGCUGACACAGCUGAGCAGCACGCGUCACCAACACCGCUGUGAAGGAAUACUACUACUACACAGGCGCUGUGAAGGAAUACUAUAUACUACAGGACUGAAGAGAAGUGUAGCAAGCAGGAGAGGCGUUGGCGACACUUUUCGGCUCCACUUCUCACCUGCCGCCGACACAGCUGAGCAGCACGCGUCAUAAACAGCGCA
rnacentral:lncRNA from 1 species